UACGAAGGGGGCUAGCGUUGUUCGGAUUUACUGGGCGUAAAGCGCAUGUAGGCGGGUCGUUAAGUUGGGGGGUGAAAGCCCGAGGCUCAACCUCGGAACUGCCUUCAAAACUGGCGACCUGGAGCAUGAUAGAGGCGAGUGGAAUUCCGAGUGUAGAGGUGAAAUUCGUAGAUAUUCGGAGGAACACCAGUGGCGAAGGCGACUCGCUGGAUCAUUGCUGACGCUGAGAUGCGAAAGCGUGGGGAGCAAACAGG
rnacentral:rRNA from 1 species